rnacentral:misc_RNA from 1 species
AGAAAAUCGAGCAGGUUAGAUUCAGUUCCCUUUCUAGGUGUUAUUCUCGAUUUAAUUUCUCAAAUCUAUAAACUCCUUUCUCUUCUUUAUCACACGAUUUCUGAAACACCUAAAAGAUCAGCCUUGGAACUCAAACCUAAGGCAAUGAAUCUUGAGUUUCAAUUGAGUGAGAAGAUAUUGGAGAUUGAAUCAACCGACAAAUGACCAUCUUCAAAACCAGAUAUUAUGAACACUACCCCAUUACUGUCUGCCAUUCUACCAAUACCCAAUUGGAUCAAUUAUCUUCUCUCUUUUCUUUUUACCCUUUUCCACUCCUUUGGUCUUUCUUGAUUCAUCCUUCCUACAACAUUGUCGACGGUGGCCUCUUGGGUUUCACUUUGUUGAGCUACUUAAUCUCCACCAUGUUUCUCGACACCAUAUUUUGGCCGGUCACCGAAGUCAAUGAACUUUGAA